GCGAGGGUGCAGCACACGGAGCAUGUAGAAUUGACCCUGUUGAAACUGAUAAGAGAUGCGCUGUCUGAGGUGAAACUGUAUACUGCAAGGAAUACAGGGGAUACUGUUUUAAUAGAUGACGUGAUUGAGGGCUGAUUGGAAAAAUUAUUGGCGCAUGUAUUUUGCGUGCGAGUUGGACUGGGUUGGUUCUAGAUUUGAUUUUGGGCUUGAGAUGUAAAAGUGGGCCCUUUUAUUCAAGUAAGAUACCCCAGCAUAUAUGAGAAGGAGUUUUCUAUUGGAUUUCCACAAUGCGUAUAUUUUUGAAUUUUCGAUUUUUUUUUAUAUGUUUUAAGGGUUAGUGGUGGUGCAACAUCUGGUUAAGGAAAUAUGUUUUUUUUUAAAUCGCGUUUUUUAAUAUCAAAAAUCGGUCAAAAAAACACUAAAAAAUAUUUUUUGACGAGAAAUCGAGUUUGUUUUUUUAACCCUCUACUGUUCAAUUUAUUUUUUUGAUUUUUUUUAUUUUUUCCGUGUUUAGGAGGUCAUUUUGAGCAACUUUUGUUCUACGAAAAACUUAACUUGUUUUGUUUUAUGUUUUUUUGUAUUAUUUUUAGUACAUUAAAUUGCAUCUAUUUAUAUGUUAUGUUUCUUUUAGGUUUUUUGCUUGUUUUUCACAUUUUCUGCUAUAGAAUGGAACCAUUAUUUGAAUUGUAAAAAAUGCGAAGAGGCAUAGUCUAGGGCACUACAAAAAUAACUGCAUACUUCUUUUUACUUCAAAUAUAGUAAAUUUUAGAAAAGAAACACAUCCAAAGUAAGGCCCAGAAAAAAUACAUUUUUUUAAAUAUUGGCAAAGUCACGUUGAAACAAGUUAAACUUCCAACCCUAAAAUUUUCAAAAAAAAUAAAAAUUCUUCUUUCAAAUGUUUUUUAAAGAUCAAAAAUUGGUUGAAAAAUAGAUUUUUGGCGAUUUUUAAGAUCGAAGCCCGUCUAGAGGCGGGGUUAGGUUGUAGGAGGGGUUAGGUAUAGAAGAAUGUUGGAAGUAAUCGCCCAGCAUUCGUCAGGAUGCAUCCGAAAGGAUUAGGGCGUCUAAUUUUCCCGGGUUUUGAAUUUCCCGGGAAGUGGGACAAAUAUUUUUGAAUUCUCGGGAAUUUCCGGGAUUCCGGGAAAUUUUUCAAACAGUCGUAAAAUCUAUGUUUUCAUUAUAUUUGUUAUGUUUUACAAGCCUGAAUCUUAGAAUUAGCUCAAUAAUAUUUAUUGGUGAAAAUCUAAACUUUCAAUCUAAACAAGGACGUCAGUUUUAAAAAAGUUUAAAAGAAAUUAAAAAUGUUAUUUUUUGUUCUUUGUUGUGCUUUGGAUUUUAAAUGAACUAUACUUUUUUAUCCAAUGAGAUUCAAAUUAAAUAAAUAUUUUAAAAAUAUAUUUCUUUUUUAUAUUUUUUUUAUCUGAGCCGUUUAAGAAUAUCAGUAAAACAAAAUGAAAACAGAAGAUAGAUGGUAGAUAAAAAUAGAAAAAAGAGAAACCCCGUUCUGUGAUGUUUCAGGUACAUCCACAGCAGUUGACUCAACAGACUGCAAAUCAAAACAAUACCGUCUACAAUCACAAAUAACUUCCCUUUCCCACAUUGUCGCGCCCCUUUCUUUUAGCUGUCUCGAAUCUGACUUAGGUUAGAAAAUUAAUAUUUUUUCAUGAAAUGUUAUAGCCUCAAAAUCAAACCUGAUGCAAUUUUUAAACUCAAAUUUCUCAAAAAAGCGCACACCAGAUUUUAAGCGCCAAGAUGCAUUUGAAAGGGGAGAUUUAGCAGUAGAAACGUGGUGUGAUCACUAAGGACCUUUUUUUGUUGGUUCUAAACGCAUAACAAUCCCUUGAAACCUGCUUUUCCGUAGGAACGAUUGUGUAGAUUUGAAUGUAUUACAAAGAAACUAAACAGAAUAAAAUUGCACUUAGUAUUAAGAGGCAGUAUUUGUAGAUUCUGCUCGGUUUGUUCUAGAGGUCGUAUCGAGGUGCUCCGAUUUGGAUGAAACUUUCAGGGUUUGUUUGUCUAUACAUGAGAUGAACUCAUGCCAAAUAUGAGCCCUCUACGACAAAGGGAAGGGGGGUAAAACGGGCAUUGAAGUUUGAGGUCCAAAAAACAUGAAAAAUGUUAAAAUUGCUCGCAUUUCCGUAAAACUUCAUCAAUUCCAACUCUCUUAGAUGCAUUCGAAAGGUAUUUUAAAGCCCUUCAAAAUGUGCUAUAGACAUCCAGGAUUGGUUUGACUUUUUCUCAUAGCUUUUGCAAAUUACUGUUAAAAAUGGAUUUUUUUAAAACCUUAAUAACUUAUUGCAACAGCCUCCAACACCCAUACUCCCAUGGGUCAAAAGAUAGGGAAUUUCAUGGACUAUAAGCCUACGGUAUUAACUUUUUGGCCAAUCGCAGUUUUUCUCAUAGUUUUACGAUUUUUCUAGAACAAACAUUUUACAACGCUAGUUUUUGCCCUGUAGGCCAAGAAGACGGCACUUUUUGGUCUCAAUUUUGUCAUAUUCGGAAUCCUCGGACAAUUUCACGUAAGUUAGAAGUAUUGGAGCUGUAAUUUUGAUUUAAAAAAUAAUUAAAUAAAA